rnacentral:rRNA from 1 species
AGUGAACGCUGGCGGUAGGCCUAACACAUGCAAGUCGAACGGCAGCACAGGAGAGCUUGCUCUCUGGGUGGCGAGUGGCGGACGGGUGAGGAAUACAUCGGAAUCUACUCUGUCGUGGGGGAUAACGUAGGGAAACUUACGCUAAUACCGCAUACGACCUACGGGUGAAAGCAGGGGAUCUUCGGACCUUGCGCGAUUGAAUGAGCCGAUGUCGGAUGAGCUAGUUGGCGGGGUAAAGGCCCACCAAGGCGACGAUCCGUAGCUGGUCUGAGAGGAUGAUCAGCCACACUGGAACUGAGACACGGUCCAGACUCCUACGGGAGGCAGCAGUGGGGAAUAUUGGACAAUGGGCGCAAGCCUGAUCCAGCCAUACCGCGUGGGUGAAGAAGGCCUUCGGGUUGUAAAGCCCUUUUUGGGAAAGAAAUCCAGCUGGCUAAUACCCGGUUGGGAUGACGGUACCCAAAGAAUAAGCACCGGCUAACUUCGUGCCAGCCGCCGCAGUAA